CCUACGGGAGGCUGCAGUGGGGAAUAUUGGACAAUGGGGGGAACCCUGAUCCAGCCAUGCCGCGUGUGUGAAGAAGGCCCUCGGGUUGUAAAGCACUUUCAGUGAGGAAGAACGCCUGGUGGUUAAUACCCAUCAGGAAAGACAUCACUCACAGAAGAAGCACCGGCUAACUCCGUGCACAGCAGCCGCGGUAAUACGGAGGGUGCGAGCGUUAAUCGGAAUUACUGGGCGUAAAGCGCGCGUAGGUGGCUUGAUAAGCCGGUUGUGAAAGCCCCGGGCUCAACCUGGGAACGGCAUCCGGAACUGUCAAGCUAGAGUCCAGGAGAGGAAGGUAGAAUUCCCGGUGUAGCGGUGAAAUGCGUAGAGAUCGGGAGGAAUACCAGUGGCGAAGGCGGCCUUCUGGACUGACACAGACACUGAGGUGCGAAAGCGUGGGUAGCAAACAGGAUUAGAUACCCCUGUAGUC
rnacentral:rRNA from 1 species